rnacentral:rRNA from 1 species
UACGUAGGGUGCAAGCGUUAAUCGGAAUUACUGGGCGUAAAGCGCACGUAGGCGGAUAUUUAAGUUAGGGGUGAAAUCCCAGGGCUCAACCCUGGAACUGCCUUUAAUACUGGGUAUCUCGAGUCCGAGAGAGGUGAGUGGAAUUCCGAGUGUAAAGGUGAAAUUCGUAGAUAUUCGCAAGAACACCAGUGGCGAAGGCGGCUCACUGGCCCGGUACUGACGCUGAGGUGCGAAAGCGUGGGAGCAACAGG